rnacentral:tRNA from 3 species
GCGGGUGUAGUCUAGUGGUUAUGAUGCGCGCUUCCCAAUCGGGACUAGCGCGAGGUCCGGGGUUCGAACCCCCGUUCCCGCA